rnacentral:tmRNA from 1 species
GGGGCUGACAGGUAUUCGAUUGCGUGUCAACUUACUGAGAAGCGUGCCGGGCCCGCAACGCCCGUAACAGUGCAACCACAAUAACUGCAGCUUCUGCUCAGUCCGACUACGCACUAGCUGCGUAGUCCGGUGGGGUACAACGGUUUACCCGUUCCGUGUACCAAUCCACCGUCGCGAAUACGGGGAACUCGCAAUGACCAGCUCUCAGGCGACAAACUGUGCUGGAAGAUCGGUCGAGAGUCUGAGGUCUCGAUUCGGACAGGCGUCCACCCCAACCGACCCAAUCGGUGGACUACGCACGUAGAAGACUGUGACAAGUCACGUAACAUCCCGGUUCAAUUCCGGGCAGCUCCAC